AUAAUAAACAAACAGCAAUACAAUUAUUUUAUAUGUUGUGACAUCAGCACCACUAAUCAGCGUAUGUGCCUUUAACGCUGCACAAUUCAAACAGCGCCAAACAUGGCAGAUGGUAACGUUAGUCGAGCUCCACAAAUAGUAUCGUUUGGAUACAAGGACUUUGAACUGGACCGUGUGAAUAAAAAAAGAUUUGCCAGAUGCAAAAUAUGCAACACAAGAGUAUCUGACACGACGACAACAUUAACGUCAAAUUUCAUUCGUCAUUUUAAGAACCACAAGGAAAGUGAGUGCUGAAGGUCACAGACCGAUGAUGCCAUCAGGACCACAUUAUCUGCAAAAAGCAGCGAUGAGAUCCCCAGCCCACCAAACUGCAACCCCUCCCCACCCCGACUACGCCUCGAUAUCCUGUCCAUAGAAGUUACAAACAGGAUUGGUGACUUAGCACAGCCCUGGCGGAGGCCAACCCCCACCUGGAACGAGUCAGACUUACUACAGAGAACCCGAACACAGCUCUCACUUUGGACGUACAGGGAUUGGAUAGCCCUCAGAAGGGACCUCCUCACCCCAUACUCCCGCAGCACCUCCCACAGUGUCUCCUGGGGGACCCGGUCAUACGCCUUCUCCAGAUCCACAAAACACAUGUAGACUGGAUGGGCAUAUUCCCAGGCCCCCUCCAGGAUCCUUGUAAGAGUAAAGAGCUGGUUGGUUGUUCCGCGACCAGGACGGAAUCUGCAUUGUUCCUCUUCAAUCUGAGGUUCAACUAUCUGCUAAACCCUCCUUUCCAGUACCUUUGAGUAGACUUUCCCAGGGAGGCUGAGAAGUGUGAUACUCCUGUAAUUGGCACACACCCUCUGGUCCCCCUUUUUGAACAGGGGAACCACCACCCCGGUCCGCCACUCCUUAGACACUUUCCCCGACUCCCAUGCAAUGUUGAAGAGGCGUGUCAUCCAAGACAUCCCCUCCACACCCAAAGCUUUCAACAUUUCUGGACGGAUCUCGUCAAUCCCCGGAGCUUUGCCACUGUGGAGUUGUUUGACUACCUCAGUGACUUCUGCCAUGGAGAUUGACGA
ensembl:lncRNA